CCUGUGAACAUAAUAGAGAAAUCACCAAUUAUCUCCAGUUUUUGCUUGAGAAUGGGAUUCAGAAAUGAGUAUCUCUCUCGGCAGAAGGUCUGCCUUGCUUAUUAUUUUCCUCAUUUACCACUAAAUACAUUUUGGUUUGCUUUGUAAAGAGUUGUCAAUGACCAUUUUCCAUUAUUAUUUGUUUUAUAUCAAUAGCCAGGGCCUUGUUGUACUAUUUAUUAUUCAUUGUAUGAAUACAAACUAUAUUCCAGUGAUAACGUGUUCCUACUCUGGCACGUUAUAUUUUGUGGCUUUCACAUGCUUUUACAGAAGAUUUUACAUUUGCCAUAUGGAGCAGCUGAGAGGCCUCUGCUAGGAUAAAUGCAGCAGAGCAGAGGGGACACUUACAACCAAAGUCCUGUUGCCCAGAUGCCUGCAAUUGCAAGGGAAUCAACUCAAUGAGCCCAGUUAGCCCUUGCAGUCAUUUGUUCUUGAGGCACAGUCUUGGACUAGACAGGCUUAUAUACUGCAUGUUCAAAGGGCGGACAAAAAGCAAAUAGGUGAUUUAUCCAAGGUCACACGUUCGUGCCUUUCUCACUUGAUGCAUCUGCAUUGAAACGUUUGUUUUAUAAUCAGGCAAAUGAGAGGAAGCAAAAUCGUUAUUUCUACAAAUCUCCUGCUCUUGCAUACAGAAAGCAAUUAAAGGCAGAGUUAACAGAGAAAACUUUAAACAAUUUGCAACUGCAUUUUCAGGCCUAUGUUUUGCAGGGGGUCUCCAGAGAUCUGGAAAUAUUAAACAUGAGCUCUGCAGCCAAUAAUGCAGGUUAGGAAGCGAUGCGAUAAAAAUCUCCUGAGGAAUCACACAGGGCCUGCUGCAAAAGACCGACAGCUUAGAUGGAAAUAUCAUGGUCUACUGUGCACAUAAAUGAAUAGGUAAUUCCUAAACCACUAUUUACUUGGUGGGUUGUGAAGGGUUUUUAUUAAGCAUAUGGCUAUAACUGUUACAGAUUACAGGCCUAGUCUCUGUGGCAUUCUUGGAAACCUGCAGCUCCAGCGUAUCGAUAGCCCAACGCACUGGGCUCGUCCUGCCCAAGGCCAAAGGAGGCAGAGAAUAGAAGCAGAGCUGCCAAGAUGCCCAAACUAUCAGAAAUUCAACCCCAAAAGUCAUCAAGAUCACACAGAGAAGUCAUCAAACAGCUUCCCCUGCGUCACUGUAAGUUCGUGGUGCCUCCACUUCUGGGACCUGAGAAAUUUUCAGCUGGUGGCAAGUCAUGAAGGCAGGUCACAGCACAGGCCUGUGGCUGCAAGGGCCCGGAGGACACACAUACCUGGGAGCCAGGACAGGGGCACACACAGCACAACCACCCACAGCAGCAAACACUCGAGGAGCCUUUUCCAUUCUGAACAGCCUCUGCAGGCACUGAGCUCUCCUCUGCAGUUGAAAUCCUCCGUGGUGUUUUGGCACCCAUCUCCCACUUAGGCUUCUCUUACAAUAAGCGGCAGAGAAGCCUUGACGCAGUCUUGAUGGUCAGGGUCUGUGUUUGUUCAGCCAGCCUUUUGCAGAAGCAGUAAAUUCAAGUGUUAGCACACAGCUGUCACCAAGUGAAGACAAGCACAUGCUGUCCUCAUGUCUCACCUGUAACAAAGCAUCACUGACGCCAGUAAUUUCUCCCAGGCUGUCAACACCUACGCCUUCUUAGAAGCUGAACUUUGUUGGGAAAAAAGGAAGGAAAACUGUAAUGCACAGAGGAAGACUUUAGAUGUGGUUUCCUUCUGACAGAAGCUCAAAUAACAUCCUUCAGAGUGAAGAAGAUUGAGACGCAGACCUAGAUUCAUCAAACAGGCUUGUGUUAGUGCUAAGAACAUCACGUACUUGCUACAGUUCAGACAAGUAAAAUCUAUUAGCCCUACUCUGCUGAAAAGCAAAAAGUCUUUAAUAUUAGUACUACUUUAAAAUGUUACACACUAUUGGUAGUGUGUUUUCUUGCCUUUGCAUUGGAAAAAGCCUGGAUAGAAAAACUAUCUGAAGCAUUAAGUUUGAAAAUAUAUUGAAAUACCUCCUGGGGAGAUGAUUUUAAGAACACUCAAUCUUUUCUGUGGCAUGAUGCAGUAGGUCUCUUCAUAUCUUAGCCACAUUUGUGCCUUAGUAAUCCUAAGGGCCUGCUAUUUGCAGCUCUACAAGUGAGCCACUGAGGCAGCUUUUCCCUCUGUGCUGCCACACAGGUGUUCCCUAAUUGUUCUCAUGAGGCUACACCUGAAAAUCUCUAUAGUUUGACAGCAAGAAGCAGCCACAGCUGCUGGAUAAUCACCUCUCUUCCAUCCUUCCUUUUCUCCAUGUUUGUAGAUUUCAGCUUAUAUUAAAGCAAACACUACACAAACCAGGCAGGAGUAAUUUAAAUACUCAAUAAAUAUAAUCUGACAAUAUAUGUGCGCAGAAGCUGAGCAACCAAAUCGAAGGGCAACAUUUGCACCCAGUCAGCGUGCUCCAGUCGAUGCUAAUAGUGUCCUAAAUGGGAACAUCUAUUGCAUUGGCUGAGUAGGCUGAGAGCACCAGUAGGCUUUGUCAUGACAUAGUGGUCCCAAAGAUUAAUGCCAGCAGUAGCUCUUCAACAUCAAAAGCAAAAGAGAUUAAACCAAAAUAGAUUAAACAAAGAAGGACUCAGGAACAGAGGGGAGGAAUUACCUUAUUUAAUGAACUAUCCCAUUUCUCAAAAAUAAAAAAAAUAUGUAUAUAUAUAUAGUAAAAUAUAUUCACAUUUGCAUAUUAAGCUGUCAUCCAUUUUUAUAUUAAAAUAUUUUAUUAUAUAUUACAUUUAUUAUAGUGGUAAUAGUACAUAAUUUUUUUUCUUUUAGUUCCAUCUUCAAUUACCUGAAACUUCACCAAAGAUUUUCCAACCUAUCUUUUCUUUUUGCAAGCUGAUUUGUCUUUUGAAAUCACAGACACUGUUGUAACUGAUGUGAUAAUUCACUCUGAUGGGUAAUAUGCAUACAGGUAAAAGAAAUAUUGGCACAAUGCAUGAUCCUACCCAUUGUAAUAAAUCAUGGUAAAUUAGUAGAGAGAAUUAAUUUUGAAUAUUUUUACCAUAAAAAUUAAGAUAAGUUGAGAAUGGAAAUUGAAAGCAUGAGCUCUUUGGGCAAUACUGAAACACAUAGUUGUAAAAGAGAGUAUUUCUCCCCACACCAGCACAUUAAUAACAGUGGCUACACUUGAAAUAAAGGCAUUUAAUGAAGAACAACUAUGUAUAAAAAAAAAAAAAAAAAAAAAAAAAAAAAGAUUCAAGAAUCGAUCCAUACAGAAGUAGACACAUAAUUAAGAAAGACCUGUUAAACUUCAGCUACAGGCUGAUACCAAGACUAUUAAAAAUGUUCCCCACAUUGCAAAAAAAUGCAUUUGUCUUGAAUAAAUCCCAGAGAGCUGGAUCCUGCAAGCUCCCAAGCUCUCAUGCUGUAACUCAAAAUUGCUCACAUGCUUUAGUGCAUUUCUGGAGACCCUCCAGGGUUUUUACCAUAUACUUGAUAUGACUGGAGAGAACAAGCACAUGGACUUGAGCACAUGUUGGAAAACAUAUAUUUAGUCCUGUGAGGCAUUCAGUGGCAUCAACUCUUACAGACUGAUGGUUGUAGGAUAUCCAUUGCUCUAGAAUGGACCAAGAAAGGAACUGAUAGUGGUGAAACACAUCGCACUGCUGGGCAGUAAUCAUACGUGUACAGUUAUGAUCCACACGGAAAGAAUGGAUGGUGGCAACUGACUUGUCAUCGACUUGACAUCAAAACCACUACCAUUUCUUUCCAAACAGGGUUCUGAAGUGAUUUCUCUUAAAUGAUCUCAAUUUUGUCCACGCUGCUAGGCUAGUUAUUCUUCACUCAGCAAAGCAAAACCAGUAUCUAAUGUUUACAAUAUACACUAAUUAUUCUGCCACAAAUACAUGGUUACUCUGCAGUAUAA